rnacentral:rRNA from 1 species
AGCGAACGCUGGCGGCAGGCCUAACACAUGCAAGUCGAACGAAGUCUUCGGACUUAGUGGCGGACGGGUGAGUAACACGUGGGAACGUGCCUUUAGGUUCGGAAUAACUCAGGGAAACUUGUGCUAAUACCGAAUGUGCCCUUCGGGGGAAAGAUUUAUCGCCUUUAGAGCGGCCCGCGUCUGAUUAGCUAGUUGGUGAGGUAAAGGCUCACCAAGGCGACGAUCAGUAGCUGGUCUGAGAGGAUGAUCAGCCACAUUGGGACUGAGACACGGCCCAGACUCCUACGGGAGGCAGCAGUGGGGAAUCUUGCGCAAUGGGCGAAAGCCUGACGCAGCCAUGCCGCGUGAAUGAUGAAGGUCUUAGGAUUGUAAAAUUCUUUUACCAGGGACGAUAAUGACGGUACCUGGAGAAAAAGCCCCGGCUAACUCCGUGCCAGCAGCCGCUGUAAUAC